rnacentral:rRNA from 1 species
GACGUGACUUCAGAGUUUGAUCCUGGCUCGGGACGAACGCUGGCGGCGUGCUUAACACAUGCAAGUCGAACGAUGACGACAGGGCUUGCCUUGUCUGAUUAGUGGCGAACGGGUGAGUAACACGUGAGUGGCCUGCCCCCCUCUUCGGGAUAACCUCGGGAAAUCGGGGCUAAUACCGGAUAUGACUUCGCACCGCAUGGUGUGUUGUGGAAAGUUUUCGGUGGGGGAUGGACUCGCGGCCUAUCAGUUUGUUGGUGAGGCAAUGGCUCACCAAGGCGAUGACGGGUAGCCGGCCUGAGAGGGCGACCGGCCACACUGGGACUGAGACACGGCCCAG